GUUUACCUACGGGAGGCAGCAGCGGGGGAUAUUGCACAAUGGGGGAAACCCUGAUGCAGCAACGCCGCGUGAGUGAAGAGGGUCUUCGGAUUGUAAAGCUCUGUUCUUGGUGAAGAUAAUGACGGUAGCCAAGGAGAAAGCUCCGGCUAACUACGUGCCAGCAGCCGCGGUAAUACGUAGGGAGCGAGCGUUGUUCGGAUUUACUGGGUGUAAAGGGUGCGCAGGCGGCUCUGCAAGUCAGGCGUGAAAGCUAGGGGCUCAACCCCUAAACUGCGCUUGAAACUGUGG
rnacentral:rRNA from 1 species